AGAAAAUAUGUGAAAUGGUGAAAUUGAAAGUAAGAAAGAAAAUUCUUUCUCUUACCUUUUUAGGGAUACUACAACAAAGCUUCUGAAUGCUUUCAGCAAGCUUUUGACACAACAGUAGAGCUAAUGAGCAUGCCUCUGAUGGAUGAGACAAAAGUUCACUAUGGAAUAGCAAAAGCUCAUCAGAUGAUGCUUACAGUGAACAACUAUAUAGAGUCUGCAGAUCUCACCAGCCUCAACUACCUGCUGUCAUGGAAGGAGAGCAGAGGUGACAUUGAACCUGAUCCAGUUACUGAAGAGUUUCGAGGAUCCACGGUGGAAACUGUAUCUCAAAAAUCAGAACAUUUGGAAGAACUCAGUAGAUUUCCAGGUGAUCAAAAAAAUGAAACUUAAAGCAGCUUUUCACUUAACAUCAAAGCGAGAAGAAAUCCAUCAUGUCACCUUAGACUUCAAUACUUGUAAUAGGAACAUGUUACAGACAAGAUAGAGUUAUAAUAAAACUGACUAUGACUCUUUCAUUGCAUUUUGUAUUGCAGUAUAUUACUAUAAAUUUAGUCCAAAACAUCUAAAUCCAUGAAAAUAAAAUAUAUUCCAAUUCUUAGAAGUAUCAGCAAUCAUCCAGGAAAUAAACAAUUUCCUCUUCUCCACUAUUCCACAAGAAAUAAUGAUACCAUGAAACCAAAAUAAGAAAAUAUUUUCUAAUGAGAAAAUAAUUACAAGCUUAAGAAAAGCUUGUAAUUUCUUAAGCAAGAAAUUUCUUUCUUGCUGAAUUCAUGUAGGAUAGUAUUUACUAAAAUUCUAGGGAAAAUUUUCAACAUAGAUAAAAAGAAUAUAAGCAAUUAAGACUACCAUAUUGACAAGUACUGUUUGAAACAGUUUGCUUUACCUGUGUAAAAGUAUAUUUUAUGAUACUUUUAACUGAUAGCACAUAAUCAAAUUUAUCCAUGUCAACUUAAAAAGUUUAAGUCCUUCAGUCUUACAAGCCUUACCUAAUGUGUCUUGCAAAUGAAAUAACACAGCUGAGAUCAUUACAUGUAUAAUUUCGGGAGAUCUGAAGAUCUCCUGAAGAUUACAGCUGUGAGCCACCACGCCAGGCUUUUACUUUGUUAUAUAACGUUUCUUUAACCAUAACCAUUUACAUUACAAAUACCCCAUCUCAUCUUACUCUAUCUAAAAAGUAGAUUAACCAGGAGAAAACUGUAUUUCCUUUUAUAAGAACAAUUGUAACUUUGAAGUUCAAAUUGAAGUUCA
rnacentral:lncRNA from 1 species